AACAGGAUUAGAUACCCUGGUAGUCCACGCCCUAAACGAUGUACACUAGUUGUUGUGAGGCUCGACCUUGCAGUAAUGCAGUUAACACAUUAAGUGUACCGCCUGGGGAGUACGGUCGCAAGAUUAAAACUCAAAGGAAUAGACGGGGACCCGCACAAGCGGUGGAGCAUGUGGUUUAAUUCGACGAUACACGAAGAACCUUACCUGGACUUGACAUAGUAAGAAUGAUUUAGAGAUAGAUUAGUGUCUGCUUGCAGAAACUUGCAUACAGGUGCUGCACGGCUGUCGUCAGCUCGUGUCGUGAGAUGUUGGGUUAAGUCCCGCAACGAGCGCAACCCUCGUCCUUAGUUGCUAACAGUUCGGCUGAGAACUCUAAGGAGACUGCCUACGCAAGUAGGAGGAAGGUGAGGAUGACGUCAAGUCAUCAUGGCCCUUACGUCCAGGGCUACACACGUGCUACAAUGGGGUAUACAAAGAGCAGCAAUACGGUGACGUGGAGCAAAUCUCAAAAUGCCUCCCAGUUCGGAUUGUAGUCUGCAACUCGACUACAUGAAGUUGGAAUCGCUAGUAAUCGUAGAUCAGCUAUGCUACGGUGAAUACGUUCCCGGGUCUUGUACUCACCGCCCGUCACACCAUGGGAGUUGAACUCAUUCGAAGCGGGGAUGCUAAAGUAGCUACCUUCCACAGUGGAUUCAGCGACUGGGGUGAAGUCGUAACAAGGUAACC
rnacentral:rRNA from 1 species